rnacentral:lncRNA from 1 species
UUUCUUUCUUUCUUUUUUUUAACAGCUUGAGUUCCACUUCUUACAUAUGUAGACCUGUGGCAAACAAUUUUCCCUUGUACUCUUGCCAGUAUUAAGGGUAUUCCUGGAGAAACCCAUUCCUGCCAUCCUCGUUUUGGAGACAGAGGUUUUCCUUCAUCUCUGGUUGUCUUCUUCAAUCUCGGGGAACUUAGCGGCCCUGGAAU